GCCAAGUUUCUACAGAGUGACUUGUGGAACGAAAACUUCAAACAGGAGGUGGAGAACGUUGCCAGGUUCCUGUACUACAUGGACCCCCAGCAGGCCAGUCUCCAGUUUGUCCGUCAGCAUGAGAAGACCCGAGAGUAUUUCCUCAAGCUCUCAGAGGCCGGACUCUGCAAGCAGACGGUGCAGAAUUACAUCAAGAGCGUUAAAAGGUUCCUGAAGUUCCACGUGGGCAGCACUAACCUGUGCUUCAAAGACUGACUGCCAGAACUACGUCUUGUUCCUGAGCAACAUCCAGACUGUGACUUCUAAGCAGGUCAGCAAGGAGACGACCAGGAAGAGGAGGCCAUGACUGUGUUGGAUGCUGCCAGGGAAGACUUCCUAGCUGUCAUCGGGAAGCUGAAUCAGUUGAAUCAUUCACUUAGUUUAACUAAUGAAUGAUUUGUUUGCGUGCUGUAGGUCACGGAAUGGACCAGUCGCAGGAGAGUAUAUGGGUGUUACUGAUGUAUGGCUUUUACUGCAACAGGAGGGAUCGAAGAUUACCUGUACUCAAAUUCUCUGAAUCUUUUAAUGGCAUUAUGAACGGAGUGUUUCAGGCAUGCUGCCUUUAUAUCUAAUCAAGAGGCUGACCUGUGUCCAAUUAACCUGUUCACCUGUGGAAUGUUGUAAACAGGUGUUUUGUUGCAGCAGUCCCAACUUUUUCAGAACAUGAUCCAAAUAAAAAUGAGUCAAUAUUUGCAAAAACUGUUUCUGUUUGAUUAUUAAAUGUAUUUGUAGCGUAUUCAGUUAAAUAUAGGUUUUAAAGGAUUUGAAGCUCAGCAUAUUCUUUUUUGUUUAGUUAUGUUAUACGCAACAUCUUAAUUGAAAUUGGGUUGUAAUAAAGCACAAACAA